rnacentral:lncRNA from 1 species
GGAUGAUUAAGAAGAAAGCAUUUUAUUUUUCCUUUUUACCUCUUCAUUAGUUUCUAGCCGCUACUCUCAUGCUUUUGAGUUUUUCUUAUAAGAACGUUUUUUUUUUUUAUUAUUGAAUCCAAAAAGAAGAAAGUUGUUGAGUGUUAUGCUGUUACAUUUGAGGAAGGUUCACUUUUUAUUUUAUUUUGAAAUGGAGUGCUAGGUCCAAGAGUGUCCAACAACCACCACUUAGAUCUUGGUCUUUCUUUUUAUUUGAAUGUUUUUUUUUGGAUGGAAUGAUUCAAGCUGGAGGUGGUGCAGAUUAUGGGAACACACGCUGUUUCAUUUCUUCUAAUUAAUGUAGCGGUGCAUUUCCAUUUGGUUUGAAGUAAGCAGCUUGUUCACAGCAGCACACAUUGACGUUAAUUUUGGAGAGCACAAGCACGUGAAGCAAUUGAAGAAUGAGGACGCUGGAUGAAGUGUCACGGCCUGGGUGGAGAGAAGCACACUUUCAUUCUUUUUUCUUUUUAGAAGCAUAUGGUGCAUUCAUUUCUUAGUAGAAGAGCACAGUGAUUUUAUUUAUGAGGAAAAGCAUUUCAUUCUUUUUGCUGGCAG